rnacentral:rRNA from 1 species
UGUAGUAAUACAAGGCAGACGGCUCAGUAACACGUAGUCAACCUACCCUAUGGACAAGAAUAAUCUCGGGAAACUGGGCAUAAUUCUUGAUGGAUCAUAAUGCCUGGAAUGGUUUAUGGUUAAAAUGAUUCGUCGCCAUAGGAUGGGACUGCGGCCUAUCAGCUUGUUGGUGAGGUAAUGGCCCACCAAGGCGAUUACAGGUACGGGCUCUGAGAGGAGAAGCCCGGAGAUGGGUACUGAGACACGGACCCAGGCCCUAUGGGGCGCAGCAGGCGAGAAAACUUUGCAAUGUGCGAAAGCACGACAAGGUUAAUCCGAGUGAUUUCUGCUAAAGAAAUCUUUUGCCAGUCAUAAAACCACUGGUGAAUAAGGGGUGGGCAAGUUCUGGUGUCAGCCGCCGCGGUAAAACCAGCACCUCAAGUGGUCAGGAGGAUUAUUGGGCCUAAAGCAUCCGUAGCCUGUUCUAUAAGUUUGCGGUUAAAUCCAUAUGCUCAACAUAUGGGCUGCCGUAAAUACUGUAGAACUAGGGAGUGGGAGAGGUAGACGGUACUCGAUAGGAAGGGGUAAAAUCCUUUGAUCUACUGAUGACCACCUGUGGCGAAGG